UACGAAGGGGGCUAGCGUUGCUCGGAAUCACUGGGCUUAAAGGGCGCGUAGGCGGACUGCCAAGUCCGGGGUGAAAUCUUUCGGCUUAACCGGAAAAGGGCCUUGGAAACUGGCGGUCUCGAGGGAGGUAGGGGCCUGUGGAACUUCGGGUGGAGCGGUGAAAUGCGUUGAUAUCCGAAGGAACGCCGGUGGCGAAAGCGACGGGCUGGAUCUCUUCUGACGCUGAGGCGCGAAAGCCAGGGGAGCAAACGGG
rnacentral:rRNA from 1 species